AUGAAUGAAAAUGAAUGAAAGUAUAGGGACUCCAUUUCUCACCUGACAAAAAAAGCUAUUUUGGAGUUCGUUCAGAGCUAAAAAGAUGAAUUCAUGUACGAGGCAAAGACCAUCAUUUUUUUCUUCCUUCUCUUCAUAGCCCACUUUCCUGCUGCUAACUGAAGACUGUUCUGUUUCUGUUCCAGUGCUUGUCAGAUGUUGUCCAACACCCUGCAGCAGCUGGCAGAGCCUCACUGCGCAAGCAGAGAUGCUUUCAAAGAGGAUUUAGUAGCUCAGAAGAAAAAGAGGACACAACCACUGUUAUAUCAGCUUUUCUGUCGGUCUCCAUGUUUCUAUCUGCUGGUGGAUUUACUGCUGUGAGAGCUGCUUCAAGACAACAGAGAGCUGUUUGCUUAAAUCUUCAGAGCAGACAGGAAGCCAGGAGAAAAUUGAAUGAGGCAACCUUUGGCCGUGUGUCUUGGACACUCCGGUAAAAAGAGGGGCAGAGCUGUCCACUGAUCACUGCCUGGUCUUGAGUUGGAUUCGCUGGAGGGGAGGUAGGCCGGAAAGACUAGGCAGACCUAAACAUAUUGUGAGGGGCUGCUGGGAACGUCUGGCUGAGCCCUCCAUCAAGGAAGUCUUUAACUCCCACAUCCGGUGGAGCUUCAAACAGGUACCGAGGGAGGUUGAGACAUUGAGUCCAAGUGGACCAUGUCCUCCACCUCCAUUGUCUCUUCUGCUGAUCAGAGCUGUGGUUGCGAGGCCUCUUGUGCCUGUCACAGUGGUAAUCGCCAAACCCAGUGGUGGUAAGGUAUGCAGUCAACCUGAGCAAAGAGUCUUACCAAGCCUGGCUGGAGGGGAAAGCAGUUUUUUGCAGGCACCAAUUUCCGUGCAGGUGGGGAGCUGUUGGGCACAGGAAGGAAUGUUCAAUCCUGCUCACAUGCCUUUUCUUGAGGAAGAAGAGGCUGAGGACUUUAGAGGAAGCUUUGCUUGUUUCCACAACAAGUUGCCUUUCUCAAAUCCGAACCACUGCCCAGUCCGACCACCAGCUGCUUCUCCAAAUUCCCACCAAUGGCCCUUCCUACACUACCAGCAUCUGGUCACUGUUUCUCUGGUGUGUCUGCUUCCGUACGCCAUCAUUCCCACCAACAGCUCACCCUAGUCAACGGAAGCAGGUCUUUCUAUAGACGGACUCUUUGCAUUCAGCUCUUUAAACCUAUUACAUUGAAGACUAUUACACUACAGUAGUAAUCAUUUCAGUUUUUAUUGUAAAUGUUCUUUGUUCUUUAUCAGGUGUAUUCCGGCUUACUUAUUUUACUUUCUUUCAUCUAUCUUAUAUCUUAGAGUUUACACGUCUAAGAAUAAGCCAGUCCUAUACCAGUGUGCUGCAGUAAACUAAAUAGCGUCCACUCAUUUCUGUCCAUCCAUCUUUGACUGUAUAAGGGAACUGUACUGAGUUAGUGUCACGUCACCCAAUGGCUUACUUUGGGCUCCAACUAAAUGAAGUCAACUCCGUCACAGAACCAGACGUUAUGAGUAAACAGUGAGUGGUCAAAGUCAUCAUUUCUAUGGCAACCAGUCUCGGCAGUGAGGAUUGAGCUUGUUGGAAGGCCACACCCCUGAGGGGUCACUCAGUCCAGUUCUCAUGGAGUCAACGGUGUCCACCAAAAACUUUGAUGACUUUCUGUUAGACUAAAACACAAUAUUUCCUUUUAUUGGGAAAUCAUGCAUCUCUUGUCUCUUUGGUGAGUUUGACAAUGCAGUUUAUAGGGUCCCUUAUCAAAAAAAAA